CCGCCAUCUUGGAUAGCUGAGAGGAAAGUGUUCCGCGCGCGAGCGAAAAACAGGGACGGAGAUGCAGAGAGAGAGGCGCAGGUGGGAGGCUGGUGGACUCUGAUGGACUGAAGAUGAGAGACCCUCUAAGACCCGAUCAGUCCUGAGUGGUGAGUGAGCUGAACAGCAGCUGAUGACGUCUCCUCUGCAGCUCAACCUUCAGCUUCACUUCARAUAUUUUCUAAGUUCAUUUGUCUGUAAAAUAAAAUGUUGAAUUUUUAAAAGCUU